rfam:Dipodomys ordii contig_18864, whole genome shotgun sequence.
GGGAAUGUGGCUUAGUGGCAAAGUGCUUGCCUCGCAUGCAUGAAGCCAUAGGUUCGAUUCCUUAGUACCA